GGGAGUGCAAAUCACAAUUGGAUUGAUGCACAUUGGCUUCGGAGUUGUUCUUGGGUUACUGAGCACCUCUUACUCUAUGACUUGGGCAUUUUACUCUACUGCUUUUAUUGGUGGAUAUCCAUUUUGGGGUGGAGUCUUUUUCAUUGUUUCUGGCUCACUCUCCGUAUCAGCAUUCAAGAAGUUCUCUGACUGUCUGGUGAAGAGUACCCUGAUAAUAAACAUUUUUAGCAUCAUUUCUGCCUUUGUUGGAGUGGUUCUGUUUCUGUGUGAUCUGAACAAUAAUGGCCACUAUUAUCAAGACUACUGGAUGGUGCUUUCUGGGAGAGGAAUUGCAGGUGUGCUGGCAAUAUUUUCCUUGUUGGAAUUCAGCAUAGCGUGGGCCACGGCCUACUUUGCAUACCAAACUAUCCUCCAUGGCAACAGAUCUGUCCUGGUUGCUCCAACUGUGUAUGCGGCCAACCACUUGAUGCAAGAGUCGUCCCCAGCUUCUCCUAUAUAUGACAACGUUCCAGAUUAUGCUGUUAGGCAGUAACAGGCAUGAAGAAUCACUGGCUCAUGGCUAACAGUCACUGGGUUUUUAAUCAGUGCCUCUUUCUGCUUACCAUUACCCCACCACAGAGGAAAGACAAGAGGGCCGAAACCUAACUGCAGUGUUCUCAGCAUCACAAACAUUCUUUUCUCGUUAUCUUUUUCACAAUAAAAUGUCAUGGGGAACAC
rnacentral:lncRNA from 1 species